rnacentral:rRNA from 1 species
UACGGAGGGAGCUAGCGUUGUUCGGAAAUACUGGGCGUAAAGCGCACGUAGGCGGCGCAGCAAGUCAGGGGUGAAAUCCCGGGGCUCAACCCCGGAACUGCCCUUGAAACUGCAGUGCUAGAAUCUUGGAGAGGCGAGUGGAAUUCCGAGUGUAGAGGUGAAAUUCGUAGAUAUUCGGAAGAACACCAGUAGCGAAGGCGACUCGCUGGACAAGUAUUGACGCUGAGGUGCGAAAGCGUGGGGAGCAAACAGG